rnacentral:lncRNA from 10 species
UGCACUCCAACCUGGGGGACAGAGUGAGAUUCUGUCUUCAAAAAAAAGAAUACAAGCUUACUCAGCCUGAGGAUCCUUAAUCUAGUAAAAGAUAGCAGACAAGUCACUUCUGCUCAUAGACUUCCACUCAGUUGCUCUGGUCAGAAACCUCCCCAACUCAGUCAUUCUUAAGUGUUUUCUGAGCUGCGUCCAAAGGAGAGAACAUUGACUUCUGUCUCCAGGAGACACAGGAUCCAUCACGGAGGAGAAACCCUCCCGCUGAUUUGGAAGAAUACCCUGCAAACCAGGAUCCACCCCACUGGAUGUUCCUCCAGCACUCUCUGUUUUGGGUUUAAUGGUGAGUAAGGAAG